GAUUUGGGAACCUCAGGGCAAUAUCAUGAGAGCGCUAAAGCCACUGGCGCCCACGGAGAACACCUGCAGCUCUUUCUUCUCCACGGCUUCCAACGGGCCUUACUUGGCUGGCCAGGUAGGCGCCUGCUUCUGCUGGGUCUGGUGGCAUACCGGGACGCCCUUGCCGCCCCCGGAGGAGCCGCUGCUCCCACCACUGGAGAAGCAGCCCCCGCCGGCCCCGGACCCGGAGGAGCCGCCGCCGCCGCCGCCCCCACAACUGGAGAAGCAGCCCCCGCCGCCCCCGGACCCGGAGGAGCCGCCGCCGCAGCCGCCGCCGCUGGAGAAGCAGCCCCCGCCGCCCCCGCCCCCGGAGGAGCCGCCUCCGUAGCCCUGCUGGGGCGUGCACGAGGUCUGGGGGGUCUGUUGCGACGAGAAGCAGCCGGAGCCGCCCCCGGAGGAGCCGCCGCCGCAGCCGGAGCCGCCCCCCGAGGAGCCCCCGCCGCAGCCGGAGCCGCCGCCCGAGACACCUCCGUAGCUCUGGCACUGGACCUGCUGGCCGGAGCCGCCGCCGCCGCCGCCGCCGGAGUAGCCUCCGCAGCCGGAGCCGCCGCUGGAGGAGGAGCCGCCGCCGCAGCCGGAGCCGCCGCCGCCCCCGGAGUAGCCUCCGCAGCCGGAGCCGCCGCCGCCCCCGGAGUACUUGGUGCUCCCACCCGAACCUCCUCCGGAGCCGCCGCCACCGCAGCCGGAGCCGCCGCCGCCGGAGUAGCCUCCGCAGCCGGAGCCGCCGCCGCCGCCGCCGCCGCCGCCGCCGGAGUAGCCUCCGCAGCUGGAGCCGCCGCCGCCCCCGGAACAGCCUCCGCCCCCGGAGUACUUGACGCUCCCACCGGAACCUCCUCCGCAGCCUCCGGAACCUCCUCCGCCGCCUCCGCCGCCUCCGGAGCAGCCUCCGCCCCCGGAGUAGCCUCCGCAGCCGGAGCCGCCGCCGCCGCCGGAACAGCCUCCGCCCCCGGAGUACUUGACGCUCCCACCCGAGCCGCCGCCGCCGCCGCCGCCGCCGCCGCCGCCGCCGCCGCCGCCGCCGCCGCCCGAGGUCUUCCCGAAGCCCAUUGGAGGCAUGGGGGUGGGCUGCUUCUUCUGGUGAGACAUCUUGCGCAAGCAGGAAGCGAACCCUGA
rnacentral:lncRNA from 1 species